UACGUAGGGUCCGAGCGUUGUUCGGAAUUACUGGGCGUAAGGGGCUCGUAGGUGGCCAACUAAGUCAGACGUGAAAUCCCUCGGCUUAACCGGGGAACUGCGUCUGAUACUGGAUGGCUUGAAUCCGGGAGAGGGAUGCAGAAUUCCAGGUGUAGCGGUGAAAUGCGUAGAUAUCUGGAGGAAUACCGGUGGCGAAGGCGGCAUCCUGGACCGGCAUUGACGCUGAUGAGCGAAAGCUAGGGGAGCAAACGGG
rnacentral:rRNA from 1 species